rnacentral:lncRNA from 1 species
AAAUGUUCGAAAUCAUUAUAUUAUAAUAAACAUUGAAUAUGAUAAACAUGCAUAUGAUAAAUAAUGAAACUGUAUUGCUUUCCGAUGCAACACAUAGGGUCUCGGACGGAAUGGGCAGAGAGGAAGCCUCCGGAAGCUGCAGUACAUGCCCUGCACGUGUGACAGAGGAAAUUUGUUGUUUAUGUCGUGAGUCUGCAGUUGCCACAUUGGCUCCCCAACAUACUGGCUGUGGCCAUGGAGGGGUGGUGCCAAUGUGACGUCACGUGUGACAAUCCUGGAGGUGGAGAGAUCUCUUUAGGGCAGCUGGAAUGGAGGAGCACCGUAGAUACAUCCACAUAUACAGUGCAUAGCCGAUGUCAGGCUGUUUUCAAUGUGUGAUAGUGUGCAUGCUCUUCAUUGUAUCCUUUCAUAUACUAAAUAAAAUAUAUAAAUAAACUAAGUGAUGAUUUCAGUGUGGCAUUUUCAAAUGCUGUGAAUAUCAGAUAGAAUAUUUUUCAUUUAUUAUUAUAGUAUUGCAUGUGUGAACACGUCUCAAUUGUGCUGUUACAUUGUUACAAAACAAUAUAUUGUGUAAGUUGAGCAAUAAAUGUCAA